rnacentral:rRNA from 1 species
UACGUAGGGACCAAGCGUUGUUCGGAUUUACUGGGCGUAAAGGGCGCGUAGGCGGCGUGGCAAGUCAUCUGUGAAAUCUCCGGGCUUAACUCGGAAAGGUCAACUGAUACUGUGCGACUAGAGUGCAGAAGGGGCAACUGGAAUUCUCGGUGUAGCGGUGAAAUGCGUAGAUAUCGAGAGGAACACCUGCGGCGAAGGCGGGUUGCUGGGCUGACACUGACGCUGAUGCGCGAAAGCCAGGGGAGCGAACGGG